rnacentral:misc_RNA from 1 species
UUUCCGUAGGUGAACCUGCGGAAGGAUCAUUCAUAAUAAGUGUUUUAUGGCACUUUUUUUAAUCCAUAUCCACCUUGUGUGCAAUGUCAGGGUUGUUUUUUCUCUCGAGAGGAUCAACCUCAAACAUCAACUCUAUCUCAACUCUUUGUCUGAUAAAUAUUAUGAAUAAAACAAUUCAAAACACAACUUUCAACAACGGAUCCCUUGGCUCUCGCAUCGAUGCAGAACGCUGCAGAUCGGAAGAGAAACCGUCUGUACUCCACCCACCAUUCGUCAUCU